AUACGGAGGAUGCAAGCGUUAUCCGGAUUUAUUGGGUUUAAAGGGUGCGUAGGCUGUUCGGAAAGUCAGGGGUGAAAGCCCGGCGCCUAACGCCGGAACUGCCUUUGAUACUUCCGAGCUGGAAUACGGAUGCCGUGGGAGGAAUGAGUAGUGUAGCGGUGAAAUGCAUAGAUAUUACUCAGAACACCGAUUGCGAAGGCAUCUCACGAAUCCGUCAUUGACGCUGAGGCACGAAAGCGUGGGGAUCAAACAGGAUUAGAUACCCUGGUAGUCCACGCAGUAAACGAUGAUGACUAACCGUCGGCGAUACACAGUCGGUGGCCAAGCGAAAGCGAUAAGUCAUCCACCUGGGGAGUACGUUCGCAAGAAUGAAACUCAAAGGAAUUGACGGGG
rnacentral:rRNA from 1 species